UACGUAGGUGGCAAGCGUUGUCCGGAAUUAUUGGGCGUAAAGCGCGCGCAGGCGGUCCUUUAAGUCUGAUGUGAAAGCCCACGGCUCAACCGUGGAGGGUCAUUGGAAACUGGGGGACUUGAGUGCAGGAGAGAAGAGUGGAAUUCCACGUGUAGCGGUGAAAUGCGCAGAUAUCGGGAAGAACACCCGUGGCGAAGGCGGUUCUCUGGGACGGUACUGACGCUGAGACGCGAAAGCGUGGGGAGCGAACAGG
rnacentral:rRNA from 1 species